rnacentral:rRNA from 1 species
UACGUAGGGGGCAAGCGUUGUUCGGAAUUAUUGGGCGUAAAGGGCGCGUAGGCGGCGUGGUAAGUCAGUUGUGAAAUCUCCGAGCUUAACUCGGAACGGCCAACUGAUACUGCUGUGCUAGAGUGCAGAAGGGGCAAUCAGAAUUCUUGGUGUAGCGGUGAAAUGCGUAGAUAUCAAGAGGAAUACCUGAGGUGAAGACGGGUUGCUAGGCUGACACUGACGCUGAGGCGCGAAAGCCAGGGGAGCAAACGGG